GUUAUAUGGUCAAGCGAUGAAGCGCAUACGGUGGAUGCCUAGGCAGCCAGAGGCGAUGAAAGACGUUGUAGCCUGCGAUAAGGCUCGGUGAGGUGGCAAACAACCUAGGACCCGGGCAUUUCUGAAUGGGGAAACCCACCCAGCAUCAGCUGGGUAUCCCACCCUGAAUUCAUAGGGGUUGGGAGGCGAACCGGGGGAACUGAAACAUCUAAGUACCCCGAGGAAAAGAAAUCAACCGAGAUUCCCUCAGUAGCGGCGAGCGAACGGGGACUAGCCCUUAAGUCAAUGCACGGU
rnacentral:rRNA from 1 species